rnacentral:lncRNA from 1 species
CAAGGAAUAGUAAAGCUGAGGAAAGAUAAGAAAAUGACAUUAAGGAAGAUAGGCAAGAGACUGUAGAUGGUGAUGAGGAAAAUAAAAGACAGGAGAAAUAAGAAGGAGAAGAUAAAUAAGAAAAGGAGGAAGUAGAAAGUAUGAGAGGAUCAUCAUCAACAUGAUGAUAAUGCAUCGCCAAUAAGGCAUGAAUUAAGAUCAAAAUCCC